rnacentral:rRNA from 1 species
UACGUAGGGUGCGAGCGUUAAUCGGAAUUACUGGGCGUAAAGCGUGCGCAGGCGGUUCGUUGUGUCGGCGGUGAAAGUCCCGGGCUUAACCUGGGAAUGGCCGUCGAGACUGGCGAACUGGAGUGUGGCAGAGGGGGGUGGAAUUCCGCGUGUAGCAGUGAAAUGCGUAGAGAUGCGGAGGAACACCGAUGGCGAAGGCAGCCCCCUGGGCUGACACUGACGCUCAGGCACGAAAGCGUGGGGAGCAAACAGG